AGAAUAUUGGGACAUUGGCUGCAUUACUUAUAGUUACAAAUUUAUUGAGUUGGGGGCUCUGAUGUGUCAGGCUCCUGUCUCUGUGAAUGUGACUCACUGUCCUAUCCCUUGUAGAGUUUCCUACUGGGGCUCCACUGGGCCACAAGAGCAAGCCUCAUUCAACCAAAACAGGCUGCCAUUCACGACCCCACAAUUAUCCCAAGAUUUGAGGAUUCAAAGGUCUUCUGAUAUAGUCUUUAAUUAAGGCCUCGGUCCUCCUCGAUCCACGGAAUAACUAAGUCCUGCUGGAUGGGACAGUAAAACCUCAGGUUCAGAGCCUGGAUCGCUCAUUGAAAUUAAAGAUCACUGAUACACGAGUACUCAACAGGACCCAUGGAAGAUUUGGAAGUAUAGUCACAGAUUGCUGCAUCUACUUUGUUAUGUGUGGACUCUUCACCAUGGUCAACAAGAAAUUUCCUAACUGAGAUAUUUUUCAUACCUUUUAAGUGAUAUAUUUUCUCAGCUUAUUCUUUCAAGGCUAUAUUGUUAAAUUUCAAUCUGUUUCUGAAUAUUUUUAUUUUCUUUUUUAUAGAUGUCCAGUUUUAUUCCAGAUUUAUUCCAUCAGGCUAAAACUGAUAGCUAUAAUAUGUAAAUUGUUUAGAAUCUAUUGCAAGUUUGUGACACCAUAGAUGAUCUUUAGAAAGCUUUCCAUAUGCAGUAAAAAGAGUAUAUUCUGUUUUAUGUCUAUUAUAGCCAUAUGACCUACAGUUUUUCAAGAAUAAUCAAAGUCAAUCACUUUCUACAAUUCUUCCAAAAAGUUAAAGAAAUAAAAUAAUAUCAUUUCCAAAUUCAAGUCAUCUUGUAAAGUCAAGAUUACCCUAAUUUUGAAGCCUCAAAAAGAAACUAC
rnacentral:lncRNA from 1 species